rnacentral:rRNA from 1 species
CAGUCGCCGCGGGAAUACGGAGGGGGCUAGCGUUGUUCGGAAUUACUGGGCGUAAAGCGCACGUAGGCGGCUUGGUAAGUUAGAGGUGAAAGCCUGGAGCUCAACUCCAGAAUUGCCUUUAAGACUGCCGAGCUAGCAGGUGAGAGAGGUAAGUGGAAUUCCGAGUGUAGAGGUGAAAUUCGUAGAUAUUCGGAAGAACACCAGUGGCGGAGGCGGCUUACUGGCUCAUACUGGACGCUGAGGUGCGAAAGCGUGGGGAGCAAACAGGAUUAGAUACCCGGGUAGUCCCUGUCUCUUAUAC